AGAGCGAACGCUGGCGGCAGGCUUAACACAUGCAAGUCGAGCGGGCGUAGCAAUACGUCAGCGGCAGACGGGUGAGUAACGCGUGGGAACGUACCUUUUGGUUCGGAACAACCCAGGGAAACUUGGGCUAAUACCGGAUAAGCCCUUACGGGGAAAGAUUUAUCGCCGAAAGAUCGGCCCGCGUCUGAUUAGCUAGUUGGUGAGGUAAUGGCUCACCAAGGCGACGAUCAGUAGCUGGUCUGAGAGGAUGAUCAGCCACAUUGGGACUGAGACACGGCCCAAACUCCUACGGGAGGCAGCAGUGGGGAAUAUUGGACAAUGGGCGCAAGCCUGAUCCAGCCAUGCCGCGUGAGUGAUGAAGGCCCUAGGGUUGUAAAGCUCUUUUGUGCGGGAAGAUAAUGGACGGUACCGCAAGAAUAAGCCCCGGCUAACGUUCGUGCCAGCAGCCGC
rnacentral:rRNA from 1 species